rnacentral:lncRNA from 1 species
AAAUUUUGACAUUAAAAAAAAUUUAUAUUGCCCGUGUCACGCCCCGGAUUACUACGUUUUUCCGAACAUGCCAACAGACCCGCCAUAUACAUCAAAUUUUUUCGUAUAUACGAAACGAUAACUGUACCUGUAAACAAAUCAUAGCUACAACCAUAAGUAUAAAGCUACUAAAACUGAAACAUAUACAUAAAAGCAUACUAAACCCAUUGUACAUACAAUAUUCACAAUACAACCUCGCUCCAGCCAGUACAACAAAAUAUAAUAGUAUGUACAAAAAAACAACCCAAAACUACCUCUGAAGG